rnacentral:lncRNA from 1 species
AAGAUUACAACAUUAUGAAUAUAAAGAUUGAAUUUGGCAAACAGUAGAGUACACAAAUAACCAAACUGUUUAAUUGGCUAGAGAACAAUGGAUUAAUGAGACCCACCACCAUUAGUUUUGAAGUUUGAUCCUCUGAUCUAUUCUAUCAAAACUGUGUCCAUGAAGGCAAUGAUGUAUUGUGAUUAUGAUUAGAACUUAAAAAUAAUCUAUUAUAU